rnacentral:rRNA from 1 species
UUCGGGACGCCGGCGAGUGGCGAACGGGUGAGUAACACGUGGAGACCUGCCCUGAGGUGGGGGAUAACAGCUAGAAAUGGCUGCUAAUACCGCAUACGCCUUACGAGGGAAAGAUUUAUUGCCUCAGGAGGGUUCCGCGUCGGAUUAGCUUGUUGGUGGGGUAACGGCCUACCAAGGCGAUGAUCCGUAGCUGGUCUUAGAGGAUGAUCAGCCACACUGGGACUGAGACACGGCCCAGACUCCUACGGGAGGCAGCAGUGGGGAAUAUUGCGCAAUGGAGGCAACUCUGACGCAGCGAUGCCGCGUGGGUGAAUAAGGCCUUAGGGCUGUAAAGCCCUUUCAGUGGGAAAGAUGAUGACGGUACCCACAGAAGAAGCCCCGGCUAACUCCGUGCCAGCAGCCGCGGUAAUACGGAGGGGGCGAGCGUUGUUCGGAAUUAUUGGGCGUAAAGAGCGCGUAGGCGGUUUAUUAAG